GAUGAACGCUGGCGGCGUGCCUAAUACAUGCAAGUCGAGCGAAUGGAUUGAGAGCUUGCUCUUAUGAAGUUAGCGGCGGACGGGUGAGUAACACGUGGGUAACCUGCCCAUAAGACUGGGAUAACUCCGGGAAACCGGGGCUAAUACCGGAUAACAUUUUGAACCGCAUGGUUCGAAAUUGAAAGGCGGCUUCGGCUGUCACUUAUGGAUGGACCCGCGUCGCAUUAGCUAGUUGGUGAGGUAACGGCUCACCAAGGCAACGAUGCGUAGCCGACCUGAGAGGGUGAUCGGCGACACUGGGAAUGAGACACGGCACGGACUGCUGCGGGAGGGAGCAGUAGGGAAGCUUCCGCAAUGGACGAGAGUCAGACGGAGCAACGCCGCGUGAGUGAUGAAGGCUUUCGGGUCGUAAAGCUCUGUUGUUAAGGAAGAACAAGGGCUAGUUGAAUAAGCUGGCACAUUGACGGUACCUAACCAGCAAGCGACGGCUAACUACGUGCCAGCCGCCGCGGUAA
rnacentral:rRNA from 1 species